UUCUAUAGGCGAUGCGGGUUAUCCAAACAAACCGUGGCUGUUGACCCCAUUGUCUAAUCCUGUUGGUAGAGCAGAAAAACGUUACCAAGAGACACACAUUGCAUCGAGGCAAAUAAUUGAACGUGCCUUCGGUGUACUUAAAAGCCGGUUUCGAGGUUUAGACACUUCCGGCGGUGCUCUUUUGUACUCACCGUCGAAGGUUUGCGGCAUGGUAAAUGCAUGUUGUAUUUUACACAACAUAUGUGUCGCAAACCGUUUGCCGGUGACUCUUCGUCGCAGUGCUUUCCGACGCGGGAACCGGUCUUCUGCUCUACCGGUGGGUAUGGACGAAGGAGAGGAUUCCCGGCGGACAUUGAUCCAAAAUUAUUUUGCAGUUGCCUAGUUUUACAUCCUGUUGAUGUAUAUCCCCAGGCCAUGUUUGUACAGUUCGUUACCCCGUUUUAUCCUGUUGUUGGGUUACCGCAAAUAUUUGAUCCUUUUAUCCAACUCUACCAUGGGUGACCCUACUGGUGAUGUGGACCUGACCCUCUGCCAUGUAGCAGACAACCCCCCCUCAGGUCCUGCGAUGUAUCUUCCCAAGUGGCGUGGAUGUGAGGAGACACGACAUUUCACCUGAUGUUCCAUGGGUGACCCUACUGGUGAUGUGGACCUGACCCUCCGCCAUGUAGCAGACAACCCCCCUCAGGUCCUGCGAUGUAUCUUCCCAAGUGGCGUGGAUGUGAGGAGACACGACAUUUCACCUGAUGUUCCAUGGGUGACCCUGCUGGUGA